AUUGAACGCUGGCGGCAUGCCUUACACAUGCAAGUCGAGCGGCAGCGCGGGGGCAACCCUGGCGGCGAGCGGCGUACGGGUGAGUAAUGCAUCGGAACGUGUCCUCUUGUGGGGGAUAACCAGUCGAAAGACUGGCUAAUACCGCAUGAGAUCGCAAGAUGAAAGCAGGGGACCCGCAAGGGCCUUGCGCGAGAGGAGCGGCCGAUGCCCGAUUAGCUAGUUGGCGGGGUAAAAGCCCACCAAGGCGACGAUCGGUAGCUGGUCUGAGAGGACGACCAGCCACACUGGGACUGAGACACGGCCCAGACUCCUACGGGAGGCAGCAGUGGGAAUUUUGGACAAUGGGGGCAACCCUGAUCCAGCCAUGCCGCGUGUGUGAGGAAGGCC
rnacentral:rRNA from 1 species